GAUUGGUCCAGUUUCAUUUAUUCUUUUGCAUGUGACUCCCCAGUUUUCCCAAAAGCAUUUAUUGAAGAGAUGAUCCUUUCCCAAUGGCAUAUUCUUGGCUCCUCUGUCAUAAAUUAA